rnacentral:lncRNA from 1 species
CAGGAGCCCCCCGCGGGCGCGGGGCCCAGCACCGCGGGCGCCCAGCAGCCGCGCCACGUUCUCGUGCUCCAUCAGCGGCAGCGCGUGCACCGCCCGCUCGGCCGCGAAGCGCCCGGCCGCCCCCGCCGCGAACGCCUUGAUGGCCACCGGCCGCUGCUGCAGGGUGCCCCGCCACACCGCCGAGAAGCGCCCCGCCUGCAGCACCUGCGCCCCCAGCACCCAUGGGUGCCGGCGGUUCGCGCCGCCGGGGAGCCCAGCACCCGGCCUCCCGCUGGUGUUUGCAGCCCGGAGGGUCCCCGAGGACCCAGGUCCCCGGGCACCCAUGGGUGUCCUGUGCCCAAGGGCUCCCCAGCCCCACGCGCCCGUAGAUGCUGGCACCCCCACCCCUGUGAUUCCCCUUCCCCCUGCACCCAUGGGUGUCCUGAUCCCAGGGAUCACCCAGUCCCAUGCACCCAUGGGUACUGGCACCCCCACCCCAGGGAUCCCCCAUCCCCCUGCACCCAUGGGUAUCCUGAGCCCAGGGGUCACCCAGUCCCAUGCAUGUCCUGAUCCCAGGGAUCCCCCAUCCCCAAGCACCCAUGGGUGUCCUGAGCCCAGGGGUCACCCAGCCCCACACACCCAUGGAUCCUGACACCCCCACCCCACAGAUCCGCCAUCCCCAAGCACCCACGGGUGUCCCCAGCCCCUGGAACCCCACCCCCUGGUCCCCUCACCCCCAGGCACCCAUGGGCUCCCCCCAUCCCUGGGGACCCCCACCCUCAGGGACACCCCAUCCCCAGGCACCCAUGGGUGUCCCCAGCCCCAGCGUCACCCAGCCCCAUCUCCCCAGUCCUGGCCUUCAUCGGGCCCCCCCCGAGCUGCUCCCCCCCCCAUGUGGGUGCCCCCCCACCCCGUGGGUGCCCCCCACCUGCAGGAAGCGCAGCGCGGGCAGCUCCGGGCUGGGGGGCGCUGGGGGGGGCCCAAGUCCCCGACGUCCCCGGGGGGGCCGCUCCGUCUGCGCCCUCGCCCGUCGCAGCCCUGGGAUGGGGACAGGGGGACGAUGGGGACCCUGGGGACACGGGGACACCAGGGACGUGGCACCCAAGGGUGCGGGACCUGGGGAUGCUCGGGAGCCCCCCCCACCCUGGGGACAUCGGGGCCGUGGCAGCAGGGGACAAGGGACGUGGCACGUGGGGACCCCCGUGCCCGAGGCGCCCCGCGCCCUGGGGACACCAGGAGGUGACGGCAGGGGACACCCGCACCCAGGGACGGGGGGGCACGGGCACCCAAGGGGAUGCGGUGCCCCAGAGGCUCCCCCCCCCCGGGGGCCCCCCCAAAAUGUCCCCAGCCCUACCCAGCACGGCCAGGCAGGCGAGGAAGAGGAGCAGGAGGGGACCCGCGCCCCACAGCCACAGCGUCCCCGCGGGUGCCACGUGGCCGGGAGCUGGGGACAGAAACCGGGGUGACACCGCGACCCCCCCCCCAGGACCCCCCCCCCAAAGUAUAUCCCAGU